CAAGCGUUAUAUUUCUCUAUAAACGAUGGUGUCUGUACUGCCUUACCACUUCGAGCUCGAUCCAGAGAGUUCAGAAGGCCGUUACGAUAUAAACGAUCUCCGUCAAUGAAUGCUAUUGGAUUUAACUUUUUUAGGUGUCCUUAGCUCUGCCAGAAUGCUAAACGAAGACGAAAAUGUGUUGCAAAGACAUCCAAAAGGUUUUAAGGAGAAUGCAACAGGUUCCAGGGCCUCUUACCUGCGUGAUUCAUCAUCCAGGUUUUGCACAAAUUGUCUAAAUCCCUACACACAGAACAUUUAUUGUACCGACUAUAAGCCUUUGAGGCGCAGGACUAGAAUAUGCUUGGAGCUUCCUGAUCGGAAUGUUGGCUUCCGACGACCCCUGCACUGAAGAUGGCAUGCAAUCACGUCCUCCUUUGAAGGUCUCUCAAACUGUGAUGCCAGGUCC